rnacentral:rRNA from 1 species
UGGGGAAUUUUGGACAAUGGGCGAAAGCCUGAUCCAGCCAUGCCGCGUGUGUGAAGAAGGUCUUCGGAUUGUAAAGCACUUUAAGUUGGGAGGAAGGGCAGUAAGCGAAUACCUUGCUGUUUUGACGUUACCGACAGAAUAAGCACCGGCUAACUCUGUGCCAGCAGCCGCGGUAAUACAGAGGGUGCAAGCGUUAAUCGGAAUUACUGGGCGUAAAGCGCGCGUAGGUGGUUCGUUAAGUUGAAUGUGAAAGCCCCGGGCUCAACCUGGGAACUGCAUCCAAAACUGGCGAGCUAGAGUAGGGCAGAGGGUGGUGGAAUUUCCUGUGUAGCGGUGAAAUGCGUAGAUAUAGGAAGGAACACCAAUGGCGAAGGCGACCACCUGGGCUCAUACUGACACUGAGGUGCGAAAGCGUGGGGAGCAAACAGG